rnacentral:lncRNA from 1 species
CACAACAGCAACUCUUGCUUCAUUGUUAAUUAGGAGAGUGAUCUCACCUUCUCUCGAUCUCCUCACUUCUUCAAGACCCUGCAUAGAAGUGCACAAAUAAGCACUUGAAUCAGAAUCAAGAACCCAACUAGAAGAAGAGAAAACCAUUAGAUUAGUUUUAAUAAUGAGUAAUUCAGAUGUACCUUCAGAAGGCCCAUCCUUCUUUCUGCUCUUGACAAUUGCCAGG